rnacentral:lncRNA from 1 species
GUUAAUCAAUAACCUUAUUGAUUUAUACCUUAAAUUCAGAAAGACUGUUUCAGUUGACAUUGACAGCAUAUCACAGACAGAGCAGGAUAUUAAUUUUCAAAGUGUAUCAAACUCAAUUUACCUUAGGGCAAAGUCAGAGAUAUCAGGCUUUGCAGCCACCUGUCCUUCUGUAAAUUGCAUUUUCAAGACAGCUCCCGAGAGAACAAGGGAAAGCUGCAUCCCCCCAGCACAUUCCCGUAGCUCUGAACCUCCACCCCAGUUCUGAGCUUGUGCUUCAGUCCAGCCGGGAUCUGAGCAGAGCACACGGGGCUUAAGUGGGACCAGGACUUCUCAGACACAGAGGUGCACCCACCCACCUGGACUCAUGAGAACCAUUCCUGCCACAUCGUGGUCGUCACCCUGGAGCUCUGGCAUGAAAACCCCACACUCCUGGAACCAGCCCUUGCCCUCACUUUUCUCAGCAGGAAUGUUGAAGCCGAGACCCCAUCCCUCCACAGCAGCUGUGCAGACUCGGGCCCCUGCACCUGUGAGUCAUCUUGCCUCUCCCAGGGGAGCACUCACAGCCAGGAUUGGAGUAGCCCCGGGACAGGUUUGUCUGUGGAACAGAAAGGCCCUGCCCUUAGGAGGGGUGGAUGCUCCCCUGUUCUCCGCUGUGACUCGCCUCCAGGCACCUGCACUCUUCGCAUUCCUGUCUGUGCCCCAAGGACACGACUCCCCUCCUCCCAGGGCUGUGAGCCCAGGAGAUGGCUUUGGGCAAAUUAGAAACAUGCCCUUCCUCAGACUCGUGACUGCCACCUACUGGAAAACCAGCUCCAGCACGACUGUGAUAUGAGCUGCGCUGCUAGGGUCGAGUGGGCUUCUCAGACGGUGCAGUGAUAAAGAAUCCACCUGCCAAUGCAGGAUCACAGGUUCGAUCCCUGGGUUGGGAAGACCCCUUGGGGUAGGAAAUGGCAACCUACUCCGGUAUUCUUUCCUGGAAACACAAAGAGUUGGACGUGACUGAGCAUCCUUGCUGGGUUGAGCAGUGCAGAACCUGGACAACCAUACCUGGCAGCCCUGCCCCCUCCUCUUCUGCAAACCCCACUCCUUGAUCCUCACCAGAGCUCCAGUCACCAGCCACAUUGCUACUUUAUCAUCUAAUACAUGUCCUCUGAAUAUAUGCUCCACAAGGGCUGCAAAUUUGGUUUGUUUUAUUCAAGAUUGUGUUUCCAGUCCAUAAAAUGGUCCAAUACAAAGUGGAAACUCAACAAACACUUGUUGCAUAAAUAUAUGGAUGAAUACAGGAAUGAGUUCUUCCUUCUUUUCCUGAUGCACCCUCCAGUAUCACCAGCAGAGCCCAUGAGCAGAGCUCACUGUGUUAUGUGCUGCACUCACCAACAUCAGGGGUCUCGAACUUGGUCCAGGGAGAUGCUCAGAGAAAAUUUGGGGUCUGAUUCCUCUGUUCGUAGAAGCUUCAUCUGGGCACAGCUGCCAGGGGCUUACAUUGUUAAGUGACGACAAAAGAAAUGAGCCCUUAGGUUAUCAAGUAACUGAGCAACUGAGUAGCCACUAGUGGAAAUUCAAGAUUUGAUAAGUUUUGACUUCUGUAGAAUUAAAUAUUUGCAUUUAAUUUUAAAUUCCUGAGCAGCGGAGGUGGGCUGGGAGCAGUGGUGUCUAAGGAGGGACAUCAUUUUCUAAUUAGAUGGAGGGAGGCUGAUUCCAUCUCUUGGGAUUGGAUCCUGAUAAUUUGACCUCCACCCUGUGAACCCCCGGAGGAAGCAGCAGUUUAUCCUUUUUGUUUUAAAGAUUGCAUAUUUGAAAAGUCUCAGGUCACUUCCCCCCAGAUUGCUCAGAUGCCUCAGAGUUUUCUCUGUAAGGCCUCUGGGGUGGAGCAGUUGCUGGAGGGACCCUGGCUGCCAUCAGGAUCUAGAGCACCUGGGAUUUCCCUGGAGUUGCAAUAUCCUUUCUACCCUGUCUGCGUGGGACAGUGUGGUUCAGGGUCGGGGGUCUGCCCACUUCACUGUUCAGUCCCCUGGGGACACUUGAGGGGGGUCACAUUUCUGAGCUGGGAUUUCUAUGAGAAUCCUGGGAGGCGAGAUAAGGAGUGAUGUCAUCUCAGGUCUCUCUGCUUGCGUGCGUGCUCACUUGCUUCCGUCUUGUCCAACUCUUACCCCAUGGACUGCAGCCCACCAGGCUCUUCUUGUCCAUGAGAUUCUCCAGGCAAGAAUGUUGGAGUGGGUUGCCAUACCCUUCUCCAAGGGAUCAUCUGGACCCAGGGGUCAAACUCGAGUCUCCUGCAGCUUCUUCCUUGGCAGGCGGAUUCUUUACUACUGAGCUACCGGGUAAGCCCCAGGUCCCUCUGGGUGUUGUUCAGUCCCUAAGUCAUGUCCAGCUCUUUGUGACCCCAUGAACUGCAGCAUGUCAGGAUCCCCUGUCCUUCACUAUCUCACUGCCCAAACUCAUGUCUAUGGAGUUAGUGAUGCUAUCCAACCAUCUCGUCUUCUGUUGACCCCUUCUCUUGCCUUCAGAUCUUUCUAGUAACCCUGAAAUAUCUUUUCUUCUCACUUAACUGAUUCCUGCUCAUUCAUACUUCUCAGUGACUGGGAGCCCACCUUCCCCAUUGGGCCUCUCUCUGGAAAGGGUCACUAAACUCAGGGAUCUUUCAUCUCACAUCCUGCUUGAAACCCACCUUCCUGGGGUCCCUCUUCCUCCCCCACCUGUCACCCUCCUGCUCUCAGAUGUGUCUCUAAGCACCUUCCUGUGCUUCCUGCACCCAGAUCUGGGCUGGACCAGAGCAGGCAUUAGGGGUGUGGGUGCCAUCUCGAUAUAAUGGGACCUGCCUUGAAAUCCCAGUUCUUUCCUUUUCGCUCUGACUGAGUGAGGUAAUUUACCUCUGUGGGUCUCGGUUCUCUAAGCUGUCAGACGGGGAAAUAGUAUCUAUCUUAGAGGUGCGCUGUGAGAUUUCAGAAGGAUUGAAUCAGGUUGUGUGCAUAUGUGCAUGCUAAGUUGCUUCAGUCAGUCAUGUCUGACUCUGCGAUCCCAUGGAUUCUCGCCCACCAAGCUCCUGGGUCCAUAGGAUUCUCCAGGCAAGAACACUGGAGUGGGUUGCUGUACCCUCCACCGGAGAAUCUUCCUGACCCAGGGAUUGAACCCACCUCUCUUAUAUCUCCCGCAUUGCAGGCAGGUCCUUUACCACUAGCACCACCUGGAAAGCCUCUGAAUUAGGUUGGAUAACACCAAAUGCCAGAUGCUGUAAAUAUAAACAAACACACAAAUCUCAAUGAAUUAGCACAAGAGCAGUUUGUUUUUCCUAACGUAGUAAUUCAGUUCAGUUCAGUACAGUUCAGUCGCUCAGUCUUGUCCGACUCUUUGUGACCCCAUGAAUCCCAGCACGCCAGGCCUCCCUGUCCAUCACCAUCUCCUGGAGUUCACUCAGACUCACAUCCAUCGAGUCCGUGACGCCAUCCAGCCAUCUCAUCCUGGGUCAUCCCCUUCUCCUCCUGCCCCCAAUCUCUCCCAGCAUCAGUCUUUUCCAAUGAGUCAACUCUUCGCAUGAGGUGGCCAAAGAACUGGAGCUUCAGCUUUAGCAUCAUUCCUUCCAAAGAAAUCCCAGGGCUGAUCUCCUUCAGAAUGGACUGGUUGGAUCUCCUUGCAGUCCAAGGCACUCUCAAGAGUCCUCUCCAACACCAUAGUUAAA